rnacentral:rRNA from 1 species
GGGUUGUGAGGUUAAGCGACUAAGCGUACACGGUGGAUGCCCUGGCAGUCAGAGGCGAUGAAGGACGUGCUAAUCUGCGAUAAGCGCCGGUAAGGUGAUAUGAACCGUUAUAACCGGCGAUUUCCGAAUGGGGAAACCCAGUGUGACUCGUCACACUAUCAUUAACUGAAUCCAUAGGUUAAUGAGGCGAACCGGGGGAACUGAAACAUCUAAGUACCCCGAGGAAAAGAAAUCAACCGAGAUUCCCCCAGUAGCGGCGAGCGAACGGGGAGGAGCCCAGAGCCUGAAUCAGCAUGUGUGUUAGUGGAAGCGUCUGGAAAGGCGCGCGAUACAGGGUGACAGCCCCGUACACAAAAGCGCAUGUGCUGUGAGCUCGAUGAGUAGGGCGGGACACGUGGUAUCCUGUCUGAAUAUGGGGGGACCAUCCUCCAAGGCUAAAUACUCCUGACUGACCGAUAGUGAACCAGUACCGUGAGGGAAAGGCGAAAAGAACCCCGGCGAGGGGAGUGAAAAAGAACCUGAAACCGUGUACGUACAAGCAGUGGGAGCNNGGGCGUUAAGUUGCAGGGUAUAGACCCGAAACCCGGUGAUCUAGCCAUGGGCAGGUUGAAGGUUGGGUAACACUAACUGGAGGACCGAACCGACUAAUGUUGAAAAAUUAGCGGAUGACCUGUGGCUGGGGGUGAAAGGCCAAUCAAACCGGGAGAUAGCUGGUUCUCCCCGAAAGCUAUUUAGGUAGCGCCUCGUGAAUUCAUCUCCGGGGGUAGAGCACUGUUUCGGCUAGGGGGCCAUCCCGGCUUACCAACCCGAUGCAAACUGCGAAUACCGGAGAAUGUUAUCACGGGAGACACACGGCGGGUGCUAACGUCCGUCGUGAAGAGGGAAACAACCCAGACCGCCAGCUAAGGUCCCAAAGUCAUGGUUAAGUGGGAAACGAUGUGGGAAGGCCCAGACAGCCAGGAUGUUGGCUUAGAAGCAGCCAUCAUUUAAAGAAAGCGUAAUAGCUCACUGGUCGAGUCGGCCUGCGCGGAAGAUGUAACGGGGCUAAACCAUGCACCGAAGCUGCGGCAGCGANNUGCUGGAGGUAUCAGAAGUGCGAAUGCUGACAUAAGUAACGAUAAAGCGGGUGAAAAGCCCGCUCGCCGGAAGACCAAGGGUUCCUGUCCAACGUUAAUCGGGGCAGGGUGAGUCGACCCCUAAGGCGAGGCCGAAAGGCGUAGUCGAUGGGAAACGGGUUAAUAUUCCCGUACUUGGUGUUACUGCGAAGGGGGGACGGAGAAGGCUAUGUUGGCCGGGCGACGGUUGUCCCGGUUUAAGCGUGUAGGUGUGUGUUCCAGGUAAAUCCGGUUCACUUUAACACUGAGGCGUGACGACGAGGCACUACGGUGCUGAAGCAACAAAUGCCCUGCUUCCAGGAAAAGCCUCUAAGCAUCAGGUAACAUCAAAUCGUACCCCAAACCGACACAGGUGGUCAGGUAGAGAAUACCAAGGCGCUUGAGAGAACUCGGGUGAAGGAACUAGGCAAAAUGGUGCCGUAACUUCGGGAGAAGGCACGCUGACAUGUAGGUGAAGUGAUUUACUCAUGGAGCUGAAGUCAGUCGAAGAUACCAGCUGGCUGCAACUGUUUAUUAAAAACACAGCACUGUGCAAACACGAAAGUGGACGUAUACGGUGUGACGCCUGCCCGGUGCCGGAAGGUUAAUUGAUGGGGUCAGCGCAAGCGAAGCUCCUGAUCGAAGCCCCGGUAAACGGCGGCCGUAACUAUAACGGUCCUAAGGUAGCGAAAUUCCUUGUCGGGUAAGUUCCGACCUGCACGAAUGGCGUAAUGAUGGCCAGGCUGUCUCCACCCGAGACUCAGUGAAAUUGAACUCGCUGUGAAGAUGCAGUGUACCCGCGGCAAGACGGAAAGACCCCGUGAACCUUUACUAUAGCUUGACACUGAACAUUGAGCCUUGAUGUGUAGGAUAGGUGGGAGGCUUUGAAGUGUGGACGCCAGUCUGCAUGGAGCCGACCUUGAAAUACCACCCUUUAAUGUUUGAUGUUCUAACGUGGACCCGUUAUCCGGGUUGCGGACAGUGUCUGGUGGGUAGUUUGACUGGGGCGGUCUCCUCCUAAAGAGUAACGGAGGAGCACGAAGGUUGGCUAAUCCUGGUCGGACAUCAGGAGGUUAGUGCAAUGGCAUAAGCCAGCUUGACUGCGAGCGUGACGGCGCGAGCAGGUGCGAAAGCAGGUCAUAGUGAUCCGGUGGUUCUGAAUGGAAGGGCCAUCGCUCAACGGAUAAAAGGUACUCCGGGGAUAACAGGCUGAUACCGCCCAAGAGUUCAUAUCGACGGCGGUGUUUGGCACCUCGAUGUCGGCUCAUCACAUCCUGGGGCUGAAGUAGGUCCCAAGGGUAUGGCUGUUCGCCAUUUAAAGUGGUACGCGAGCUGGGUUUAGAACGUCGUGAGACAGUUCGGUCCCUAUCUGCCGUGGGCGCUGGAGAACUGAGGGGGGCUGCUCCUAGUACGAGAGGACCGGAGUGGACGCAUCACUGGUGUUCGGGUUGUCAUGCCAAUGGCACUGCCCGGUAGCU